rnacentral:rRNA from 1 species
AUUGAGCGCUGGCGGCAGGCCUAACACAUGCAAGUCGAAUGGUAACAGGAAACAGCUUGCUGUUUCGCUGACGAGUGGCGGACGGGUGAGUAAUGUCUGGGAAACUGCCUGAUGGAGGGGGAUAACUACUGGAAACGGUAGCUAAUACCGCGUAACGUCGCAAGACCAAAGAGGGGGACCUUCGGGCCUCUUGCCAUCAGAUGUGCCCAGAUGGGAUUAGCUAGUAGGUGGGGUAACGGCUCACCUAGGCGACGAUCCCUAGCUGGUCUGAGAGGAUGACCAGCCACACUGGAACUGAGACACGGUCCAGACUCCUACGGGAGGCAGCAGUGGGGAAUAUUGCACAAUGGGCGCAAGCCUGAUGCAGCCAUGCCGCGUGUAUGAAGAAGGCCUUCGGGUUGUAAAGUACUUUCAGCGGGGAGGAAGGGAGUAAAGUUAAUACCUUUGCUCAUUGACGUUACCCGCAGAAGAAGCACCGGCUAACUCCGUG